UUCUCCUAUGCUGUAGUUUCUAUCAUGGGUCCACAAAGUAGUGGUGAUUUGGUCACAUAUUUGUGAAUCUAGGGAAGUGAUAUCACUUUCAAGAUGCAGAACGAAGCGGGUGAAAUGAUGAAUCUUUAUAUCCCUAGAAAAUGUUCUGCUACGAACAGACUAAUCACUGCCAAGGAUCACACAUCCGUCCAAAUCAAUAUUGGACACUUGGAUGAUAAUGGAGUGUACACCGGCCAGUAUACCACUUUUGCUCUUUCUGGCUUUAUUCGUGCUCAGGUUUGUUCU